GUUCCAUAACCCGUGAACUACUACUACUACCGGGGUCAGUAACGUGAACUACUAACUACUACCUGUCAGUACCGUGAACUACUACUACUACCGGUGUCAGUAACGUGAACGACUACACCGGUGUCAGUAACCCGUGAACUACUACGACCGUUCAGUAAACCGUGAACUACUACGCCGUGUCGUACCGUGAACUACUACUACCGGUGUUAGUAACCGUGAACUACGACUACUACUACCGGUGUCAGUAACCGUGAACUACUACUACCGGUGUCAGUAACCGUGAACUACUACCGGUGUCAGUAACCGUGAACUACU
rnacentral:lncRNA from 1 species